rnacentral:rRNA from 1 species
GAGCAGAUGCGAAAGCAGAGCUAAGUGAACCGAUCGUACGCGUUAGACGCGGCGAAGGAUUAUCGGACAAAAGCUACUCCGGGGAUAACAGGCUAGUACCGCCUAAGCGUCCAGAGCGACGGCGGUGUUCGGCACCUCGAUGUCGGCUCAACACAUCCCGGGGGUGGAGAAGCUCCCAAGGGUAUGGCUGUUCGCCAUUUAAAGUGUUACGCGAGCUGGGUUCAGACCGUAGAUAAGUUAGAAAGUAAAAAGUUACCAAGUUAAAAAGUUCGAAACUUUCAAACUUGCGCUUUUCAAACUUUUGACUCAUUUACAAUCUGAAUCCUCAGAGGAAUUGUUAUAAGUUUUUUCGUUUUAUAAGAAGUUAAGAAAGAUAGAAAGAUUAAAUCAAAUCACGGCGGUCGUGCAUAGUGAUAUGUACGAAUUAAGUGUGGCUAUAUCGGUAGAACCCUUCUAGGGCAAUGCCGAGGACUCAUAAACGGGUCCGUAGAGACUACAGCCAUGCCAUCCUAAGUUAAUCAAAGGAUGAUCGCAUAGUCCAACUCCUUAAGUAAUUAANNNNNNNNNNNNNNNNNNNNNNNNGUCUCCUAUCUACUGCAGGCGUUGAUUCUUGAGGGGAUUUGACUCUAGUACGAGAGGACCGAGUUGAACUGACCUCUGGUGUGCCUGCUGUUCUGCCAAGAGCAUCGCAGGGUAGCUAAGUCGGGAAAGGAUAACCUCUGAAAGCAUAUAAGAGGGAAGCCAGCCCCAAGAUUAGGAAUCGUUAAGGAUCGUGAGAGAUGAUCACGUUGAUAGGCGCUAGGUGUAAGCACUGUAAAGUGUUGAGCCGAGGCGUACUAAUUUUCCGAUU